rnacentral:rRNA from 1 species
CUCGGGUGACGAGCGGCGGACGGGUGAGUAAUGUCUGGGAAACUGCCUGAUGGAGGGGGAUAACUACUGGAAACGGUAGCUAAUACCGCAUAAUGUCGCAAGACCAAAGUGGGGGACCUUCGGGCCUCAUGCCAUCAGAUGUGCCCAGAUGGGAUUAGCUAGUAGGUGGGGUAACGGCUCACCUAGGCGACGAUCCCUAGCUGGUCUGAGAGGAUGACCAGCCACACUGGAACUGAGACACGGUCCAGACUCCUACGGGAGGCAGCAGUGGGGAAUAUUGCACAAUGGGCGCAAGCCUGAUGCAGCCAUGCCGCGUGUGUGAAGAAGGCCUUCGGGUUGUAAAGCACUUUCAGCGGGGAGGAAGGCGAUAAGGUUAAUAACCUUGUCGAUUGACGUUACCCGCAGAAGAAGCACCGGCUAACUCCGUGCCAGCAGCCGCGGUAAUACGGAGGGUGCAAGCGUUAAUCGGAAUUACUGGGCGUAAAGCGCACGCAGGCGGUCUGUCAAGUCGGAUGUGAAAUCCCCGGGCUCAACCUGGGAACUGCAUUCGAAACUGGCAGGCUAGAGUCUUGUAGAGGGGGGUAGAAUUCCAGGUGUAGCGGUGAAAUGCGUAGAGAUCUGGAGGAAUACC